rnacentral:misc_RNA from 1 species
GGCCGGUACAGCGGGAUGCGACAUGGCGACAUGGAGCGGAUCCCUGAAAACCGGUCUCAGUUCGGAUCGGAGCCUGCAACCCGGCUCCGUGAAGGCGGAGUCGCUAGUAAUCGCGGAUCAGCAACGCCGCGGUGAAUGCGUUCCCGGGCCUUGUACACACCGCCCGUCAAGUCAUGAAAGUGGGCAGCACCCGAAGCCGGUGGCCUAACCCCUUGUGGGAUGGAGCCGUCUAAGGUGAGGCUCGUGAUUGGGACUAAGUCGUAACAAGGUAGCCGUACCGGAAGGUGCGGCUGGAUCACCUCCUUUCUACGGAGAUUUCAGGCCACUGUCUGGUGGCCGGUGUGUGCCCCCUUGCCCCGGAUGUGCCGGGUGUGUGGGGGUUGCUGGUGUGGAAGAGUGGAGUCGGCCUUCGGGCGUGCCGGUCGUGCGGUGCGUCCAGGAGUGGUGCGGGCAUGCUUUUGGGUUCCCGGACCGCCACCCCGCGCCGUUUGGCGUGGCUGGUGUUCCGUGCCCCGUGCCGGUCGCCCGUCCCCUGGUGGGGUGGGUGGGCUCGCGUGCGGGUGCGUGGUGGUUUGAGAACUGGAUAGUGGACGCGAGCAGGGGACGCCCUUUUGGGGGUGUCUUCUGCUGUUGAUUUCGCCGGACUCUUCGGAGUCUGGUGUUUGAUCGUUUUGUGUGUGAUCAUUUGUGUGAUGAUUUGUGUUGCCAGCGGAGUUUUUGCCGUGGGCUUGCGGUUUCCCGC